UACAGAGGUCCCAAGCGUUGUUCGGAUUCACUGGGCGUAAAGGGUGCGUAGGCGGUCGGGUAAGUCUGACGUGAAAUCUUCAAGCUCAACUUGGAAACUGCGUCCGAUACUAUUCGGCUAGAGGAAUGGAGGGGAGACUGGAAUACUUGGUGUAGCAGUGAAAUGCGUAGAUAUCAAGUGGAACACCAGUGGCGAAGGCGAGUCUCUGGACAUUUCCUGACGCUGAGGCACGAAGGCCAGGGGAGCAAACGGG
rnacentral:rRNA from 1 species